GCCCCAGUAGCAUAACAGGAUAAUGCAGUUCUCUGACUAAGGACAAAAAGCGAGUUCGAAUCUCGCCUGGGGCG
rnacentral:tRNA from 1 species